UGGGGAAUAUUGGACAAUGGGCGAAAGCCUGAUCCAGCAAUGCCGCGUGUGUGAAGAAGGCCUUCGGGUUGUAAAGCACUUUCAGUGGGGAGGAAAGCCUUUGGGUUAAUAACCCAGAGGGGUGACGUUACCUACAGAAGAAGCACCGGCUAACUCUGUGCCAGCAGCCGCGGUAAUACAGAGGGUGCAAGCGUUAAUCGGAAUUACUGGGCGUAAAGCGCUCGUAGGCGGGUGCCUAAGUCGAUUGUGAAAGCCCUGGGCUUAACCUGGGAACUGCAGUCGAUACUGGGUAUCUAGAGUAUGAUAGAGGAUAGUGGAAUUCCCGGUGUAGCAGUGAAAUGCGUAGAUAUCGGGAGGAACACCAGUGGCGAAGGCGACUUUCUGGAUCAAUACUGACGCUGAGGAGCGAAAGCGUGGGGAGCAAACAGGAUUAGAUACCCAUGUAGUCCCUGAGCGGGCUGGCAAGGCGCAU
rnacentral:rRNA from 1 species